AAAGCUGUUGACUACUAACAAGGAAAUUAGAGUUCUUAAGUCAUCUUGUUUGCGUCUCAAUAUAGCCAGAUAACAAGCUAGCGUUUCCCCUUCGUGCAAUAAUAUAUCUUGCAGAGAAGGGGAUUGCACGAAUUUGAGGAUUGUUGUUCAGGAACAUUCUUAUUUGGUAAAUUUUGGCAAUCUUCUAAGAUCUUGGAGGAAAGUAAAUUUUUAAUUGAUAGAUAUGUUUCACCAGAGCCAGGACAUUUCUAAUUGCUUUUGUGACGUUUACUCUUCAACAAUUUAAUGAUUUUUUUCUGAAAAGAUUGUUGGAUAUAAAAAGUGCUCAUAACAACAAUGAUGUGGAAGUGGUCAAAUGAAAUGUUAAUUUUUUUCACGACAGAAACUGAUACAGAAGGCAGAAAAUAUUGUGGUUAAGUCAGAGGUCUGUAGAUAUGGAGUAACUCAUGAUUAAUGAAGAAGUAACACAUUGAAAAUGAAAUUUGAAGUUUGUAAAUCAGUUUACUUAGUACAGAGAAAGAACGAUGAUCUCACGAUAACCUCAGGAAUGAAUUAUACCAAACAUUUUGCGUCAACAAUUUCCGUACGGAUGUCGAGAAAAUGACAAAACAGCUAAGCAGUUUUCAAACGAUUUAUUUCCCUCCAGGCAGCUUUAUUUUAAAGGCAGCAGCCCUUUUCACUGACCGUUCCAGUCCCACCUUUUAACGAUCAAGCAUUUUAAUGAGGUCCAGCUGUGGUAUACAUGUUCCUGGCGGAUCCUUUCCUGUUUCGUUUCGUUUUUCCUGGUGACAGAACACUUACAGUGACGAUCGAAUUGCAAUUAUUUUGACAAUCUUUCAGAGUUGUAACAGCUAGUUUUUAACUAUAUUAUGUCCAUACAAGUGUUACAGGACCGUUACAAGAAAAGCUUUUCAAACGAUACAAGGAUUGCUCUAGAUGGACGGAAUACCUUGAUAACAGAACAUGUAUUUUAACAUAAGCAAUUCAUAGAUUGUAUUGUACUAAGAAUAUUAUUUGAUAAAACCUUAUAACAAAUGUAUGAUUAAUGAGUUUAGUUUUAAUUCAGUUUUCAUUCGAGGAAUAAGGAUAAAUCUUAAUGGCCAAGUUUUGAGUCAUAAUGUUUGAUUGAAGUUGUUUUGUGUCCGUUUUCACAAAAAGGUGCGUAUACUAAUCCUUUGUUGUUUUUUGGCAUAAUCGUAACUAAGAAUGAAACAAAACUUUCAAAUUAAACACUUAAUCAAAGUGAAGCAAACUUCUUUAUCUUACUAAUCAUUCAUGUUUCGUGAAGAGAUUAUGCACAGCAUG